GCGAGCCGGCCCCCUUACCCAUUGAAAGUUUGUGAAUAGGUUGAGAUCGUUUCGGCCCCAAGACCUCUAAUCAUUCACUUUACCAGGUUGAUCCUUCCAG